GACGAACGCUGGCGGCGUGCUUAACACAUGCAAGUCGAACGGUAAGGCCCUUCGGGGUACACGAGUGGCGAACGGGUGAGUAACACGUGGGUGAUCUGCCCUGCACUUCGGGAUAAGCCUGGGAAACUGGUCUAAUACCGGAUAGGACCACUGCCUGCAUGGGUGGUGGUGGAAAGCUUUUGCGGUGUGGGAUGGGCCCGCGGCCUAUCAGCUUGUUGGUGGGGUGAUGGCCUACCAAGGCGACGACGGGUAGCCGGCCUGAGAGGGUGACCGGCCACACUGGGACUGAGAUACGGCCCAGACUCCUACGGGAGGCAGCAGUGGGGAAUAUUGCACGAUGGGCGCAAGCCUGAUGCAGCGACGCCGCGUGAGGGAUGACGGCCUUCGGGUUGUAAACCUCUUUCAGCACCGACGAAGCUCAAGUGACGGUAGGUGCAGAAGAAGGACCGGCCAACUACGUGCCAGCCGCCGCGGUAA
rnacentral:rRNA from 1 species